GGUCCCACCCCGCAGCACAGGGGAGUUCCUGGUGUGCAGGAGGGAAUGUGCUACUACGGCAUGUUUUUUUCCUUUCUUCGUGCACGGUCAGAGGCCUUCGAGGGAGUCCGCAAUGUGCGUCCCAGUUUUCUUGUCCCCUUUUUGGUUUUUCUGCCCUUUAACCAGCCCUGUUGUCACAGGACCAUAGCAUAAUUCAGUUUGGCAGGGCCCUGUGGUACUCAGCACUGGCCAACAGGAACAACGCCGGAUAUGUGCUGCUUGGAGUGAGAGAAAAUCUGUUUGGCUGAGGCUUCUGAAGAUCCUUGUUGUAGGUGCUUGGAAGUCCUUUGAGCACCAUGAGGAUGGCAGCCAACUGCAGAGAGAAACAGGCUCACCCGUCCGAACACACGACCAGCUUUGCUGCGGAUCAGUUCCAGGCUAUCGGGAUUCUUCUUCUGAGGCAUCAGGCUGCUGCCAGUGCUGAAAGAAAGGCGUGCGGUGUGUAACGGUGAACAAGAUCCCAGCCCCUAUAGACACAGGCUAAGACAGGCGCUCAGAAUCACGGGUCAGAGCAACAGCGUGGCUGGGAAAGGACAUGAGAGAUGAAGCACCUGAAGUCAGAACAAGUCACUUCCCUUCCCAAGCAAUGUGCUGCCAUGCCUGGAGCCUGGGAUCCCUUCUCAAACAGAAGAGGCUUGAAAUGGAGCCCAGGCACUCAGUCCCAUUGAAGUAGAAGAGUUGCAGCCAUACAAGCAUCUCCAUGUUACCCCAUUAGCUGAGGUGUAACUGUGGCCAAAGGUUGGAGCAUACAACCUCUACUGCCCACUCAGUGCUUGGGUCCUGGGUUUGUCAGAGCCACACAAGAACAGUUUGCAAGAUGAGCCCUCGUUUGUCAUCCCCCCUGCUGUCCUCUCAGAAGAUAAUGUGCUUUUAGGCUCCAGUUCAGCAGGCCCCAAGGUGGAGAAGGCUUCCUGCAGCCAAGUGUACAAGGUGCUUACCUGAGCAAGAACUGGCUCCAUCUGAUGGGCUGAGCUUUCUGCAGCUUCCUCCACAGAAGACCCUACUGCUGUCCUGGUUGGUGUCAAAGAGAAAGCCUAGGAGGCUCCUGACCCUGCAAGACCAAGGUCCUGGAUCUGGAAAAGGACUUACAUGGCAGCGCGUUCCACCAGGGUCUUAAUGAGCUGCAGGAG